rnacentral:rRNA from 1 species
UUGUUGGUGAGGUAACGGCUCACCAAGGCGACGACGGGUAGCCGGCCUGAGAGGGCGACCGGCCACACUGGGACUGAGACACGGCCCAGACUCCUACGGGAGGCAGCAGUGGGGAAUAUUGCACAAUGGGCGAAAGCCUGAUGCAGCGACGCCGCGUGAGGGAUGACGGCCUUCGGGUUGUAAACCUCUUUCAGCAGGGAAGAAGCGAAAGUGACGGUACCUGCAGAAGAAGCGCCGGCUAACUACGUGCCAGCAGCCGCGGUAAUACGUAGGGCGCAAGCGUUGUCCGGAAUUAUUGGGCGUAAAGAGCUCGUAGGCGGCUUGUCACGUCGGUUGUGAAAGCCCGGGGCUUAACCCCGGGUCUGCAGUCGAUACGGGCAGGCUAGAGUUCGGUAGGGGAGAUCGGAAUUCCUGGUGUAGCGGUGAAAUGCGCAGAUAUCAGGAGGAACACCGGUGGCGAAGGCGGAUCUCUGGGCCGAUACUGACGCUGAGGAGCGAAAGCGUGGGGAGCGAACAGGAUUAGAUACCCUGGUAGUCCACGCCGUAAACGGUGGGCACUAGGUGUGGGCAACAUCCACGU